UACGUAGGUGGCAAGCGUUGUCCGGAAUUACUGGGUGUAAAGCGCGUGUAGGCGGCAGGCCAAGUCUGCGGUGAAAGCGCCCGGCUCAACUGGGCGAGGUCCGUGGAAACUGGUCAGCUGGAGGACGGUAGAGGCGAGUGGAAUUCCCGGUGUAGUGGUGAAAUGCGUAGAGAUCGGGAGGAACACCUGUGGCGAAGGCGGCCCCCUGGGCCGGCCCUGACACUGAGACGCGAAGGCGUGGGGAGCGAACGGG
rnacentral:rRNA from 1 species